AGUCAAGAAAGAAAGGGCACAAGGUGGAUGCCUUGGCACAUGAAGGCGAAAAAGGACGUAAGUGAACGAAAACUAGGGUAAGCUCACAAAAAGCACUGACCCCUAGGUCUCCGAAUGGGGCAACCCGGUUGUGGAAGACACAAUCAUUACUAAGUGAAUACAUAGCUUAGUAAGGCGACACCCUGCGAACUGAAACAUCUAAGUAGCAGGAGGAAAAGAAAGAAAAUUCGAUUUUCUAAGUAGCGGCGAGCGAAAGGAAAAGAGCCUAACUCAUUAGUGAUUUGGUAAUGUUAGUCAAAUUAUCUGAAAAGAUAAACCAAAGAAAGUGAAAGUCUUGUAGACGAAAGCAUUACUAAACGAGAGGGAAAGUAUCACCGGGCACGAGUAACCCGGUGUGAAGAUAGGGGGCCCAUCCCCUAAGGCUAAAUACUAACAUGUGACCGAUAGUGAACAAGUACCGUGAGGGAAAGGUGAAAAGAACCCCGAAAGGGGAGUGAAAUAGAACCUGAAACCUAGUGCCUACAAGCAGACAGAGCGUGAACGAACGUGAUGUCGUACCUUUUGUAGAAUGGGCCAGCGAGUUAUUCUAAAUUGCGAGGUUAAUGAUUUAAGAUUAGAAGCCGUAGCGAAAGCGAGUCUUAAUAGGGCGAAAGUAAGUUAGAAUAGACCCGAAACCGGGUGAUCUAUCCAUGGUCAGAGUGAAGUUGAAGUAAAAUUCAAUGGAGGCUCGAACCGGGUGCGGUUUAAAACGCAUCGGAUGAACUGUGGAUAGGGGCGAAAAACCAAACGAACCCGGAGAUAGCUGGUUCUCCUCGAAAUAGCUUUAGGGCUAGCCUCUGACCUAAGAUUUUAGGGGGUAGAGCACUGAAUGGUCUAGGGCGGGUUACCGUACCAAAACCUAUCAAACUCCGAAUACCAAAAAAUCAAGUCAGGGAGUCAGACUUAGGGGGAUAAGCUAGACAACCAGGACGUUGGCUUAGAAGCAGCCAUGCAUUUAAAGAAUGCGUAAUAGCUCACUGGUCAAGUGGGUUUGCGCCGAAAAUGAACGGGGCUAAAUUCAAUACCGAAGCUUCGGAUUAAUAGAGGGAUUAAGUUUACAAAUGAGACUAGGAAAUAUUUAACAAAAAACAAUAACAGAAGAGAUUAAAAAAGAAAUGCAAAUUUCAGACGCAGACAUAAAGAUAGGAUAUUAAAGAUAAGAAAAAAUAUUCAAAAAACACAAGUCUAAAGUCAAAGUAGGUAUCAUAAGAAAUUAUGAACUAACAAUCACUGGUUAAGAGUUAAAAAAAACUAGGACUCAUAGCUAAACUUAAUACCUCUAUUAGUGGUAGAGGAGCAUUGUAUUAGAGACGAAGCCAAGGCGAAAGCAAAAGUGGAUUUAAUACAAGAGAGAAUGCUGGCAUGAGUAGCGAGAAGGAGUGUGAGAAUCACUCCCGUCGAAACCCUAAGGACUCCUGAGCAAGGCUCGUCCCCUCAGGGAAAGUCGGGACCUAAGCCAAGGCCGAAAGGCGUAGGCGAUGGAUAACAGGUUUAUAUUCCUGUACCGCUUGAAGUCGUUAAGAGAGAUGUGAUGACGCAAAAGGAUAAUCAAAGCCAUCCGAUGGAUGAUGGUCUAAAGCCGUAGGAAGAAAAGUAGGCAAAUCCGCUUUUCACAAAUUCUGAAAGCCGAUAGGUAUCGAAAACAUAAGUAGAGAAGUUGAUGACUCCAUGUUGCCAAGAAAAGUCACUAUCCAGACCAAAGCGCCCGUACCAAAACCGACACAGGUAGGGAGGUAGAGAAUACCAAGACGCGCGGAAGAACCUUUGUUAAGGAACUCGGCAAAAUGUCCCCGUAACUUCGGGAGAAGGGGAGCCUGAGCGAUCAGGCCACAGAAACCAGGCCCAAGCGACUGUUUACCAAAAACACAAGUUUCUGCAAAAUCGCAAGAUGAAGUAUAGGAGCUGACACCUGCCCGGUGCUGGAAGGUUAAGGGGAAGGCUUAGAGCAAUCGAAGGCUAGAACUUAAGCCCCAGUAAACGGCGGCCGUAACUAUAACGGUCCUAAGGUAGCGAAAUUCCUUGUCGGGUAAGUUCCGACCCGCACGAAAGGUGUAACGA
rnacentral:rRNA from 1 species